rnacentral:lncRNA from 1 species
GGUAAGGAUCUUACUCAAAUUAGUGUCUAUUUUGACAAUAACACCGCAGCAUUAACAGAACUUGACUAGUACCUAGUGGUCAGGAGUAUUUAGGCAGUGCCUUACUGUGUGAAGGAAAGGCUGCUGCUUUCUUUUCUGUUCUUUUUUUGAGACAGUCUUGCUCUGUCUCCCAGGCUGGAGUGCAGUGGUGUGAUCUUAGCUCACUGCAACCUCUGCCUCCCAGCAAUUCUCCUGCCCCAGCCUCCCCAGUAACUGGAAUUAUAGGCGCCCG